rnacentral:tRNA from 1 species
GGGGAUUUAGCUCAGUGGUAGAGCACUUGCCUAGCAAGCACAAGGCCCUGGGUUCGUUCCCCAGCCCUG